AUGUAAACAAACGAGCUGUCGUAAAAUUAUCUGAGAGUUUAUGAAUGAAAAGAAAACUGACAUUGUUUUGGUGUCAUCUGUGCUGUGUGGAAAGUGACCGCGCAGAGGUGACCACACACACUUUGGAGGCAGGAUCAAGUUAGCUAACAACUUGUAGCCAGCUGGAGUUAGCUAACGGCAGCUCGUUUUAUUUGUAUUUUGUUUAACCUUUAUUUAACUAGGCAAGUCAGUUAAGAAUAAAUGUGUAUUUACAAUGACGGCCUACCCCGGCCAAACACGGACGACUCUGGGCCAAUUGUGCGCCGCCCAUGGGACACCCAAUCACGGACGGAUGUGAUACAGCCUAGGUAACGUCAUAACUCUGUUAGGGUGGGUAUAAUUUGGAACGUUCCAACAGGAAAUCUGUUCUAAAAAAGUAAAGUACAAAGUUGCCAACAAUCAACGCAUACAAAGUAGCACGAUCAACUCACCACGUAGCUUAUUCUCAAUGUUUGUCUAUGGGCUACCAGAGUGAGGACAGACAUUUUCGGAAUAAACGUGGUGAGUGAAAGAUUGAAUGAUAUAGCCCUCUCCCUACCCGGUGUCUUAUUCCGCCACUAUACAACUCUGUAUGCGGUGUUUGUUGACAACCUUGUUCUUUACGAAGUUUUUGGAACAGAUUCUUGUUGGAACGUUCCACAAAUUAUACCAACCCAUUCUGUUAACAUUGUUUUUGUUACAUCUAGGCCUAUCGCCCCAUUGUAAAAAUAUAAGAAUACACUGUACAAAAUAAUUUAUUCACAGAAUUGUUAAAGCUACUGUAGCGUAAUAGCUACAGCUAAAGUUAACUAGCUAACUAACUAGUAGACCUAGUAUGUCGCGCGACAACAGCAAAAAGUUCCCUCUGCCGCGUUUUUUUUUUACCAAUGUUUAGUGACUAGUUUCAAUAUGCUUUACUUUCGUAACUCACCAAAGUAAAGUUGUUGCUAUAGUGCAGGCAAACCUUUCUCUGAAUGCCUCAAUGACUGUAUAUGAAGGUAUGCAUAGUAGACGACUGGCUCUUGUCCGUGCGCAUGCGUUGGAUGUACUCGCAGCUUGCAGUGCAUGUGCGUGGACCAGAGUUUGAUAACUUACUUGGCUAAUCAUUUGUAAGACUCUCUAGCCUGAGAACUAUGACCACACAUUGGGCUCAUACUAACCACUGGGAGAAACACAUUUCAGAUCUUUCCUGGAGUUGAAACUGCUCUGAGGAAGAGGUCCACAAGUGGUUGAAAGACUUCCAGAGAACAUCAGAUUUGACUUGGAGAAAAAGGGUACUUCUGGCUGAAGUGGACAACAACACAUGUUGUGGUGCAAUAAUGUACUUCAUCCCGAAGAGGUUGAUUCAUUCGCAACGAAGAGAAUCAAGAUCUCCAUAUGAAAGGAGGUUGCCUCUUUCAUGGGCGUUUACGGAAUGGCGACAACCACAGUCUGACAAGUGCUGAGGUGCUGAAGAGGAGAAAUGUGUCAGCGGACACCAUUGAGAAAUUGACAAAGCUGUUUGAAAUAGUCCACUCUCUUUCAUCAGCUCUAAACAUGAUCAAAUAGGAGUUGCAAGUGGAGUAUGGAGACAACCAUGUGCAUGCCUCUGUGGACUCCUCCAUUUGCCCCAGCUUCAAUUCUGCUACAAAUUAUACCACAAGCUUUUCAAAGAAGCAUGGGUUGCAAUCGUAUGUAGAGAACAAGAUUGAUGAUUCUCAUGAGAAUCUGGAUAACUGCAAUGAAGAAGAAUGUUCACCAGAAUGUUAUGUUUUCGACUGUGGCAACGUGUCUGAGGACACUGUUGUAAUCGAGUGUGCUCCCGUUUCUGAUGUAAACGGCUCAGGUACAUCUGGAAAACCAGCUGAGGGGGCGACGUUAGAGGAAGACUGGAUGGAGAUCUUUGAAGACCUCAAAAAGAAGAUGAGGGAGGAUCUUGUGUGUUUCAGGCCUAAAGUAGCAUCCUUUGUUUCCAGCUUCAAGAAGAUUAAAACAGACAGUGAACUCAUAGCCGCUCUAUCAAACUUUGGCAAAACCAACCCUGGACCAACAGCAAAGUUUCGCCAGGGACACGCACGCCCCGCAAAGAGCUCCAUAGGAGAGUGUGGACAUGGCACAUGCUGCUGGAAGAGGAAGGCACCCAAUUGAAUGUCUGUGUGUGGAAUAGCACAUGGACAUUGGGAGUACUACACAAAAUAAGCAAGUCAACAUCAGUGGCCCCAUGUGCCCAUCAUCCAACUGCUCACCAUCUGUGACCUUCAGUGCACUAGCGCUCUGCCCUCAAACACCCCCCAUCUGCCUACCACCUUUAUGUCAACUCCGCCUUGUACAAAACCAGUGGCUAUUUCAAUGCAUUGUGGCCUCUACAACACUAGAAUCAGUGGCUAUUUCAGUAUUGCAUUCUUGCCUUUUGGUUUUACGUUCAUUCAAUGCAAGACGUUUCUGCAAUUUCAUAUGUUUUGGAAAUUGAUUCCAUGUUUAUGGACCAUCAGACUUUAAAAAGCUGUUCUUCCAACCCAGUUGUAGAUCUACAGGCCUAUACUAUCACUGAACCAAAACAGUAGUUGUCAUGACUUUGCCGAGUCUUAAAUAUAAAAUGCUUAUUUAUAUUUUUUUAUAUACUGGUGUACGCUACCAUUAAAAAGUUUGGGGUCAUUUAGAAAUGUCCUUGUUUUUGAAAGAAAAGCCCCAUUAAAAUAACAUCAAAUUGAUCAGAAAUGCAGUGUAGACAUUGUUUAUGUUAUAAAUGACUUUUUAUUGUUGUUUUUUUAAUAGAAUAUCUACAUAGGCGUACAGGCCCAUUAUCAGCAACCAUCACUCCUGUGUUCCAAUGGCAUGUUGUUUUAGCUAAUCCAAGUUUAUCAUUUUAAAAGGUUCAUUGAUUAUUGCGUCAUCCGAAACAUGACCCGCCAGACCGCACUUCUUAACACCCACCUGCCAGCCACACCAAUGUAUCGGAGGAAACACUGUUCAACUCACUGUUCAACUACCGGGUCAGCCUGCAAGCACCAGGCCUGCCACAAGGAAUCGCUAGAGUGCAAUGAGCUUAGUAAAGCCCCCCCCCCGGCCAAACCCUCCCCUAAUAUGAUCACGGCCGGGUUGUGAUACAGCCUGGGAUCAAACCCGGGUCUGUAGUGACGCCUCUAGCACGGCAAUGCAGUGCCUUAGACUGCGGUGCAACUCGGGAGGCCUUAUAUAUAUAUUAUAUAUGUAUGUGUGUGUGUAUGGUAUGUGGACAUUAGGACUUGGUUAGUAAAUGUAAAAAUGUAGCAUUACAGUAAAUGUGUACAGAAAAUAAGUUGGCACACCUUGAUGUCCUCUACAUUAGACAUUUAUAAACAAG
ensembl:lncRNA